GACCACGUUUUUCAAGGGGCUGAUGUUCUGCGUUUCACUCAAGGUCACUUAGAAGCAUUGAGAGCUGCCAUCCUUGCCCAGUUUGCCACCUCCUUGGCCCUUGGGGAGGAGGCAAGCCUCUCAAGGGACCCAGUGGUUUGGUUGAAGUAAAUCCAAGUCACCAGAGGCCGGAUAUGACCCCAAAGGGAAGUUUCAUCAACUUUCAUUUCCAUUCACUCCUGGGCCACUGGCCUGCCGGGGAUACUGCUGAGCCGUCAGAAAUGAGUCAGGAAAACUUUGAAAAGUGUGGGUUUCCCCCGCAGAGCCCAGAACACCCCAGAGAUGUCGCCAACACUAAGAUGGGCACAGGAGCAACCGUUCCAAGAUGGUACCUUUCUGGAAUCCACGUCCUGGGAGACAUUACACCUUCUGUCAAGAACACCUGAGGUGGCAACUUAGUUCCCGCUUUCCCAGCAUCCAGCCCAAAGCCACCAGGCCCUGGAGAUGAAGGAGGCAGAUAAAGAUGGCAAUGGAGUGAAGGGCGGGGCUGUGCAAGGGUUGCCCGGGGCAACGACGCCAGCACCCAGCAGUGAAGCAGGCCAGGCUCAAAUCCCGUUCAGACGAUACUGGAUUCCCAAAUGGGCAGAAAACGGACUCCUGGACACGGCAAAACCCCGUUUCGUGACAUGGGGUGGUGACCCGGACCCAAGUCCCAUGCUGCCACUCAUCGGCUCUGGAAGCAGGCACACCCCCCAUCGGGGACUGAGCAUCCUCAUCAACAGACAGGGCCAAGGGGCCCUUUUACAUCAUUGGAUACAGGAAAAAAACAAGGAAAUGGAUGCGGAGUUCCCAUUGUGGUGCAGCAGAAAUGAAUCCGACUAGGAACCAUAAGGUUGCAGGUUCGAUCACUGGCCUUUCUCAGAGGGUUAGGGAUCCAACGUUGCCAUGAGCUGUGGUGUAAUUCUCAGGCGCGGCUUGGAUCUGGCGUUACUGUGGCUCUGACAUAGGCUGGUGGCUACAGCUCUGAUUCAACCCCUAGCCUGGGAAUCUCCAUAUGCUGUGGGUGCAGCCCUAAAAAGACAAAAGACAAAAAAAAAAAAAAAAAAAAAAAAAGGAAAUAGAUGCAAUAGAAAGGAAGGGGCCGGGGGAGAGGCGGCAGCUGGAAAUGAGGUUGAUAUAGAAAAACACAUGGGGUGCAGUCGACACUUGGCUAGGACUGAGUCCCAACAGCCCAUGAAAAAACAAAAGCGACUCAAGGUGACCGGCAAUUGGAAGGCACCUCUGUGGAAGCUGCAUUCAGGAGCCACCUUCCCUUCCCAGGGUCAUCUCCACACUGUCUACCGGGGUUGAAGCUUAGGAGUAGAUGGAUCCUGACCCAGAACCAGUCCUCCACCCAGCCGGAUAUAGGCUUCCUCAGCUUGUGCCUUCUGCCCUAUUGUCUGAUGUUUUAACCCAAAGUGCUGUGAAAAAAAUUCAUCUGUUAAAGCCAUAGAGCUUGUGGGUCCAACGUCUGGGGCUCUGGGCUGAGGACAGAGGAUACAGAUCUCUCAAACCUGGCCCCUGCCCCCAGGAACGUGAAAAUCUGUGCGUGGAGUCAGGACACAGUGGACUUGCUUUUGCAAGGUAGGUGCCCUGGCUUAGGUGGGGUUCAGGGGUUUCGGGGAUCCCAGAAAACACAAGCAGGGGCAAUGGAAGAGAGUUGGGGAAGGAGGCCAAUGGACCCUGCAGUCCAGGAUGCAAGGAGCAGGCUGCAAAGGGCUGUCAACAGAGAGGAGAGGAGGGUCAAACAAGAGGAUUGUCUCCAGACACUUUAUUACCCAAUCAGCCAUCCGGUCCUGUCAUUAACCACAGUAUCCAUGGUAGAGAGAGGGGAGAAAACCAAAGACAGUCUGGUGACCUGGGACUGACUACCCAACAGGAAACUGAGCCGGUCCUGAGUGCCGGCUAUGGUAGAAGGUGGAGGGAGUGACAUCGGAAUGUCCCUGGCUGAGACACUCAGCCAGCUGCAGUGCAUGUGGUCAGUGCCAAGGCCCUGCCACAAGCUUGACCAUCUCAAGCCCUAGAGAAACCAGUACCGAAAUCAAUUAUCUGUGAUUCUGCAUGUCAAAGGCAGCCCUUGUUGUAAUUGGUCCUUAUGUGGACUGAUUCCUUUCUUUUAUCGUAUUAUCAAGGAUGAAAAUGGGUUUUUAUUUGUAAACACUUGGUGAGCAUCAUGACAGAUUCCGUGUAGGUCGCUUUCACCCGCAUCAUUCUCUCAGCAUGCCGUGUCUUUGCUCUGGUCCUCCAGCCACCAACACCCUUGCUAUUAGUUGCAUCCCAGAUGCUCCGGUCUCGGGGUGGAGCUGCCUGCCUGGGAAGGAGCACUGUUGGUGGGAAACACAGAGAAGCUUCGAGACUGGGGUUGAGAGCUUGCAUGGCAGCCUGGUAUGACCUCUGGCCUCUCUGCCAUGUCCAGAACCCAGGCAGUUACUUAGCCUUUCAAAGCCUCUGCUUCUUCAGCUGUAACAUAGGAUGGACAACCUAGGUUAUUUGGACACGUCAGCCAAGAGAGCACUUGAUUUGCGCUCUGGGCUCGGUGAAUUAGCACGCAUUCUCGUGUACCCAAGAGGAUUUUGUAGAUGUGAUUAGAAUCAGCCAUUACCUUUGACUAUGAUGAAUCUGGGCAUUUCAAAUCAGAGCUAAUGACGGAGCCGUAAAGAAUCAGCCGUGAAAGCAGAGAAAGGAAAACAAACAAGAGAAGCCCCCAAAGAAGCAAGAACAACACAAGAGGGCUUGGGGUGGACUUUUCAUGACAGGAAAGCAUACUUUGCAGGCACCGUCAUGAUCGCUGUGCCCUCUUAGCCCGGCAGAUCCCUGAAGCCCAGCUCAGCAGCAUCGUAGUGCAAAGCUUCUUUGUCUCCCUCCCUGAUGGCUUUUUCUGGUCCCUGAAGCAUGCUCAGCUUCUGAGCUGGGCAGGAGGAAAGCUCAGAGGGGUUACUGUCCCUGGAGCAGGCUCCAGCCCAUGGAGUCAACGUCCAGGGUGAACGCUGAAUGUCACUGUUCUACCUCCCUGGGGCAGGUUCUAGAAGCUCUCCUGCAGGUCAGGACUGCGCCCCACAUGCCCAGCAUGGCCCUGAUCAUUAAUGCGCCCUGUACUGGCUCCCUGCCCCACCUUCCCACACUCCCAUCAAGGUGAGGGUCACGGGGACUGCCUCCCACACUCAGAAAUUGCACCCAAAUCUUUGACUUGGGGUCUGAGACCCAAACUAAGGCAAACACUUCGUUCAGUGAAAAAUUCAGGUGACCGCGGUACAUCUGGGUUAAGACUAGGAAAUAUAUCUUUUCCAUUCAGAGAGAAAAGAAAACCCUCAGCUUCUUAGGUUGUUUUUGUUUGAGGUUGUUUGGUAGAGCCCAUGUUGUCUGAGACUGAGUGACUCUAUUGGAAUCCAUGACCUGGAACCGAUUAGUUCUGCGAUGUUGGAAUAAUGAGCAUAAGAUGGUGAGCACAGUGCAUAACUCUCAUAGAUUCUUGAAAUCACCUCUAUUAAGGCAUAAUUUGCAUACAAUGUGUACAUGUUAUUAUACAUUUUGAUUUUUUUUCUUUCUUUUUUUUUUUGGGGGGGUGCUGCCUUUGAGGCACAUGGAAGUUCCUGGACUAGGGGUUGUCAUAUUGGAGCGGCAGCUGCUGGCAUACACCACAGCCACAGCGGUGUGGGAUCCGAGCCACGUCUUCGACCUACGCUGAAGUUUGCAGCAACACCAGAUCCUUAACCCACUGAGUGAGGCCAGGGGUUGGACCUGCAUCCUCAUGGAUACUAGUAGCGUUCUUAGCCCGCUGAAUCGCAAUGGGAAGUCCCAGUUUGAUGGGUUUUGACAAAUGCACCCAUCUAUGUAAAUAUCACCCCAAUAAAUCUAAAUGCCCACAAACUCAAUGUCUUCAUUUGGUUUGCAGUCAACCUUCACCCCACCCUGGCCCCAGGAGACCCCUGAUCUUCUCUCUAUCUCCAUAGUUCAAUGAACUUUGAUUUGGAGACACAAUUCAAGGUUAACUACAGUCCAAUAGGCAAUAAACUUGGUGGAGGGGGGGGGAGGAAAUUGCUUCUUAUGCUCUAGUAAUUUGCAUCAAAAUUAUCUGUAUUCAUCACUUCUAUGUUUAGGAACUGAUGGGGGUUCUCCUGACUCUCAGAUCCAGUGAGGUGAAAGAUGAGAUGGAAGAGUUAAAAAAAAACAAGUGGAAUCCAUUUGAAAUUUGGAGUGACUUCUGCUGUGAAAUUCCCAGAAAAACAAAUCUGAGACUCAUUCAUUAAAUUCAAGCAAAUACCUUCAGUUGUAACUUGAACUUCAUUCCACUUGUUGAAACAUUAAUAGUCUUGUUGAGUCAAGGACAAAUCUUCAAACAUCUUAUCCGAGUUAAGC
rnacentral:lncRNA from 9 species